GUAUCUCUGUGUAAACCUGGCCCCUACGUCUCUCUGUGUAAACCUGUCCCUACGUCUCUCUGUGUAAACCUGUCCCCUACGUCUCUCUGUGUAAACCUGUCCCCUACGUCUCUCUGUCCCUCUCUGUUUAAACCUGUCUCUCUGUCCCUCUCUGUGUAGCUGUGAAGCCCUCUGAGCCAGGGAAGAGGUCCAGGUGGGAUGUGUCUGGCCAGGCUGGGGACAAGGAGAGGAAGGAGAAGGAUCCGGUCAGUGAGUUCCUCAGUGUGGCUCGUAUUGAAGCCUCUGGGUCAGGACCAGAAACCUCUACUACUGAUGACCCUACAACAGAUCCUACUGGAGAGGUACUGGUACCAUCCGACAUCACUGAUCCUACUGUAGAGGUACUGGUACCAUCCUACUACACUACAUCACUGAUCCUACUGUAGAGGUACUGGUACCAUACUACUACA